rnacentral:rRNA from 1 species
CCUACGGAGGCAGCAGUGGGGAAUAUUGGGCAAUGGAGGAAACUCUGACCCAGCGACGCCGCGUGCGGGAUUAAGGCCUUCGGGUUGUAAACCGCUUUCAGCAGGGAAGAAGCGAAAGUGACGGUACCUGCAGAAGAAGCACCGGCUAACUAUGUGCCAGCAGCCGCGGUAAUACAUAGGGUGCAAGCGUUGUCCGGAAUUAUUGGGCGUAAAGAGCUCGUAGGUGGUUCGUCACGUCGGAUGUGAAAAUCUGGGGCUUAACCCCAGACCUGCAUUCGAUACGGGCGAGCUUGAGUAUGGUAGGGGAGUCUGGAAUUCCUGGUGUAGCGGUGGAAUGCGCAGAUAUCAGGAGGAACACCAAUGGCGAAGGCAGGACUCUGGGCCAUUACUGACACUGAGGAGCGAAAGCGUGGGGAGCGAACAGGAUUAGAUACCCUGGUAGUCCACGCCGUAAACGGUGGGCACUAGUUGUGGGGACCUUCCACGGUCUCUGCGACGCAGCUAACGCAUUAAGUGCCCCGCCUGGGGAGUCGAUCGCAAGNUUAAAACUCAAAUGAAUUGACGG